GAUAAUUUUGCUUCUCCACCUCCCGUGUGUUUUGUAUGCUGAUUGCCAGGUGCAAAGUUUUUAACAAUGAUUGACAGGAGGCCAAGAUUGAAGCUCAGAGUUCCAGGACAGAUACAGCAUGUGGAUUUCUACAUUUAAAUGGAUACAGGAGAUAGACAAAAAAUAUUAAAGGGGAACCGACACUUCUGUGAAUAAUCAAUCACACUACUGACUAAAAACCUAUCUAGACCCCCUCCCCCCAAUGCAAUAAAAACACUCCCUAUGCCUUAAUAGUGAGAAAGGGGAGAAGUAAUUUAAAUCAAUUAAAAAUAGCUUCAUAGUUACCUGGUGAAAGUCUUUCUUCUAACAUCUUCGUUAUUAAAAAUAAAAAAAGACCCAAAUCACAAAACAAAAUGACAUAAAAAGGAAAAACCCCGCACAAAAAAAUAAAAGAAGAAAAAUAGGAGCCAUCUUCACCCAAUUUGGGCUCGUCGAAAACGGGAACGUUCUUUAUAAAGGCCUUCCUAGACGUCGAAAUUGAAGUCAGAGCACUCUGAUUGGUUGAUGUGGAAGCCAGUGACAAGUAAGUCUUGCCUCUUUUUUAAAAAACAUUUUAAUGUUGUGGCUGGCUAGCCAGUGUGCAUCCCUAGCCAGAGCAUCGCCAAUGCCCAGAUAUUAAAGGGUCACUGUAUGCACCCAUACCACUUCAGGUUAUUAAAUUGAUCUGGGUACAAACACCCAUCACCUUUUACCCCGAGCACUGGAAAAAUUCUCCCAUUUAGCUGUGCUUUCAGUUCAG